AGGAUUUGUUAGAAAGGAGACCCGACUGCAACUGCUGGAUUGCUGCAAGGCUGAGGGACGAGAACGAGAAUUCAACUAGAGGGCAGCCUUGUGGAUGGCCCCGAAGCAAGCCUGAUGGAACAGGAUAGAACCAACCAUGUUGAGGGCAACAGACUAAGUCCAUUCCUGAUACCAUCACCUCCCAUUUGCCAGACAGAACCUCUGGCUACAAAGCUCCAGAAUGGAAGCCCACUGCCUGAGAGAGCUCAUCCAGAAGUAAAUGGAGACACCAAGUGGCAGUCUUUCAAAAGUUAUUAUGGAAUACCCUGUAUGAAGGGAAACCAGAAUAGUCGUGUGAGUCCUGACUUUACACAAGAAAGUAGAGGGUAUUCCAAGUGUUUGCAAAAUGGAGGAAUAAAACGCACAGUUAGUGAACCUUCUCUCUCUGGGCUCCUUCAGAUCAAGAAAUUGAAACAAGACCAAAAGGCUAAUGGAGAAAGACGUAACUUCGGGGUAAGCCAAGAAAGAAAUCCAGGUGAAAGCAGUCAACCAAAUGUCUCCGAUUUGAGUGAUAAGAAAGAAUCUGUGAGUUCUGUAGCCCAAGAAAAUGCAGUUAAAGAUUUCACCAGUUUUUCAACACAUAACUGCAGUGGG
rnacentral:lncRNA from 1 species